GCCUCCCCUCUCCAUGUCGCCAAAAAGAAAGGUGGGCGCAUCCAAGAGUUGGACGCCCCAAAUCCCACAUGCCCAAGCAUCUUCUCCAACCCCUUUGGAAGGGAUUUUAUGAGCUUUGCUUACUAAUCCUUAGGCAUCAAAGAAAGGCUCCUCUAUUGGUUUUACAGUAGAAAACUAGAGAAGAAAUAUUCUUCCGAAUAAGAGGAAGAGAAGGAAAAAGAAAGGUCUUCUUUCUCAUGCACAG
rnacentral:lncRNA from 1 species